rnacentral:lncRNA from 1 species
CAAAUUAUUGCUGUACAGAAGAUCUUUAUUUUUUCUGUUUCAUUAACAGAUUAUUAUAAAGCAAUAAGCAUGCAGGAGGAGAAGCAGACCUUUUACCUUGGGAAUUAAUGAAAGCAUUUCUGAUCAUUUUUUUGGAGGUGGGGAAUUGUUUAAAAUCUUAUACCACCCCCACAAAUUCUUCUGAAAUGGUAAAAUAAGGAAAUGCAUGAUUCCAGAGACACGCUUAACUACCAGGUGUCAGGCUAUGUGCUGUCUUGUGAUAUCAUCGGACCUUUUGAACGGGUGGAGGGAAAAGUUCAGAAGCAGCUACAGGGGACAAAAGCCCAUUUUUACUAGUUCAACAGGACAGGACAUUCAAUAAACCCAGCCCGCUCUGGAAACGGGUCGGGGCUCCAGUUGGCUCCACAGAGGCAGAAGUAGCCACUGCCGCCUCCCUCGCCCCCGCAUUCCGCCGCGGCCCCUGCGUUACUGGGGGAGACGGUGCCGCUGCGACAGGGGAGGACGCGGCUGGAGCUCAAGGAGGCUCCAUCGCGCAGGCGCCGCCGAGCCCUGCCUGGAUGCUCAGUCAAGGCACUAAGGCAAAAAAAAAAUCAGCAAUUUAUAGAAAGAAGAAGCUAUAGUCUGUCGGGAUAUCCAACACCAACAGAUAUUCUGAUGGCAAAUCAAGUGAAAGAAAAGAGGAAGCAUGACUGCAGAUCAGAUCCGUUCUCUUUGUGGAUUACAUUUUCAGUAAAAUGUAUGGAUCUAUCUUUUCCUUGUUCUUAUAUCUAGAUCAUGAGACUUGACUGAGGCUGUA